UACCAGACUCCUACGGGAGGCAGCAGUGGGGAAUAUUGCACAAUGGGGGGAACCCUGAUGCAGCGACGCCGCGUGAGUGAAGAAGUAUUUCGGUAUGUAAAGCUCUAUCAGCAGGGAAGAAAAUGACGGUACCUGACUAAGAAGCCCCGGCUAACUACGUGCCAGCAGCCGCGGUAAUACGUAGGGGGCAAGCGUUAUCCGGAUUUACUGGGUGUAAAGGGCGUGUAGGCGGGGACGCAAGUCAGAUGUGAAAACCACGGGCUCAACCUGUGGCCUGCAUUUGAAACUGUGUUUCUUGAGUACUGGAGAGGCAGACGGAAUUCCUAGUGUAGCGGUGAAAUGCGUAGAUAUAAGGAAGAACACCAGUGGCGAAGGCGGAUGACUGGACGGCAACUGACGGUGAGGCGCGAAAGCGUGGGGAGCAAACAGGAUUAGAUACCCCCGUA
rnacentral:rRNA from 1 species